rnacentral:rRNA from 14 species
AGGGCGUCGAGUUCGUCGGAUUAGACCCGAAACCGGGUGAUCUAGCCAUGGGCAGGUUGAAGGUGGGGUAACACCCACUGGAGGACCGAACCCACCGAUGUUGAAAAAUCGGGGGAUGACCUGUGGCUAGGGGUGAAAGGCCAAUCAAACUCGGAGAUAGCUGGUUCUCUGCGAAAUCUAUUUAGGUAGAGCGUCAUCCGAAUACCCCGGGGGGUAGAGCACUGGAUGGGUAAUGGGGCCCCACAGGCUUACUGAUCCUAACCAAACUCCGAAUACCGAGAA